rnacentral:rRNA from 1 species
GACGAACGCUGGCGGCGUGCUUAACACAUGCAAGUCGAACGGAAAGGCCCUGCUUUUGUGGGGUGCUCGAGUGGCGAACGGGUGAGUAACACGUGAGUAACCUGCCCUUGACUUUGGGAUAACUUCAGGAAACUGGGGCUAAUACCGGAUAGGAGCUCCUGCUGCAUGGUGGGGGUUGGAAAGUUUCGGCGGUUGGGGAUGGACUCGCGGCUCAUCAGCCUGUUGGUGGGGUAGUGGCUUACCAAGGCUUUGACGGGUAGCCGGCCUGAGAGGGUGACCGGCCACAUUGGGACUGAUAUACGGCGCAGACGCCUACGGGAGGCAGCAGUGGGGAAUAUUGCACAAUGGGCGGAAGCCGGAUGCAGCAACGCCGCGUGGGGGAUGACGGCCUUCGGGUUGUAAACCGCGUUCGCCUGGGACGAAGCGGGAGUGACGGUAAUGGGUAAAGAAGCACCGGCUAACUACGUG